rnacentral:sRNA from 1 species
UCGUAACAAGGUUUCCGUAGGUGAACCUGCGGAAGGAUCAUUAUUGAAGAGCAGCUCUUCAUACACCCUGUGAACCGUCGUCUUCGGACGCAAUAUAAACUCUAGUGUUGUCAAUGAAAGUGUUAUACCAUAACAAGCAUAACUUUUAGCAACGGAUCUCUUGGCUCUCGCAUCGAUGAAGAACGCAGCGAAAUGCGAUAAGUAAUGUGAAUUGCAGAAUUCAGUGAAUCAUCGAAUCUUUGAACGCACCUUGCGCCUUUUGGGUUCGCCCUGGGCAUGCUGGUUUGAGCGCCUUAAAUGACUGCACCCUCGAGGUGCGAGUUGAGCGUUGCCGCAGGCUCGCUCUGAAAGCAUCAGCGGUUGGAAAGCCGAGCAACGUAAUAAGUAUUCCGUUGUGAAGGCUCGACGUCCGCUUCGAACCGUCUUCGGACAAUCUAAGUGCUAGGCCUCAAAUUAGUAGGAUUACCCGCUGAACUUAAGCAUAUCAAUAG